rnacentral:rRNA from 1 species
GACGAACGCUGGCGGCGUGCUUAACACAUGCAAGUCGAACGGAAAGGCCCUGCUUUUGUGGGGUGCUCGAGUGGCGAACGGGUGAGUAACACGUGAGUAACCUGCCCUUGACUUUGGGAUAACUUCAGGAGACUGGGGCUAUUACCGGAAAGGAGCUCCUGCUGCUGGGUGGGGGUGGGAAAGUUUCGGCGGUUGGGGAUGGAAUCGCGGAUUAUGGGCUUGUUGGUGGGGUAGUGGCUUACGAAGGCUUAGCCGGCUAGCCGGCCUGAGAGGGUGACCGGCCACAGUGGGACUGAGACAGGGCCAAGACUCCUACGGGAGGGAGCAGCGGGAAAUAGUGCAAAAUGGGCAGGAGCGUGAUGCAGCAACGCCGCGGGCGGGAUGAUGGCCUUCGGGUUGUAAUCCUAUUUCGCCUGUGACGAAGCGGGAGUGACGGUAAUGGGUAAAGAAGCACCGGCUAACUACGUG